rnacentral:rRNA from 1 species
CACGUAGUUAGCCGGUGCUUAUUCAUAAGUUACCGUCAUAUUCUUCACUUAUAAAAGCAGUUUACAACCCGAAGGCCUUCAUCCUGCACGCGGCGUCGCUCCAUCAGGCUUUCGCCCAUUGUGGAAGAUUCCUCACUGCUGCCUCCCGUAGGAGUCUGGACCGUGUCUCAGUUCCAGUCUGACUGAUCAUCCUCUCAGAACAGUUAACGAUCGUAGACUUGGUGAGCCAUUACCUCACCAACUAUCUAAUCGUACGCAGGCCACUCCCAAAGCGGAUAAAUCCUUUAAUCCGAAGAUCAUAUGCGGCAUUAGACUCCAUUUCUGGAGCUUAUUCCUCACUUUGGGGCAUGUUCCUACGCGUUACUCAGCCGUCCGCCGCUCGUCAGCAAGUAAUAAAUUACUCCUGUUACCGCUCGACUUGCAUGUGUUAGGCGCGCCGCCAGCAUUCAUCCUGAGCCAGGAUCAAACUC